CUCGAGCCUCUUGUAUAUGAUAUAGAUGACAUCCUCGGGGAUGACGUUCUCGAUCUCGCGGAUGUGAAAGGCACUGAGGGUAGGACCUUUUUACCUUCCUCUUUACUGAUCUGUCCUUGAACUCAUAAUUGUGCUCGUUCUAAUGACUUGUUCUUUUUUGCAGAGAUGACUUUUGAUCCUUCAGCGCUCAGGCAGGCCGUGACCAAGAAGUCAAAGGCCCCUCAGACCCGAGCUCCAGGGCAGAAGAGAGGAAAGAAGAGAGUUCGGGAUGCUGAGAAUAUCAGGAGUGGCCCUGGCGAGACUUCUGCUCGAGGACAUACCCCGACCACACAGGCCACGGAGACUCCUACCGGUCCACCUCGGUCACAUCCUCGGCCAAGGAGUACUCCCGAGAUUGUUGACCUCGAGGAUGAGAUACGACCGAUGCCCUCUUUCCAAAGCCAGGAGCCUGACUGGUGUCCUCUGGUGUCAAGCAUCGUGGACAAGUACAGGAAGGACCUCGGUUUUGAUGAGGGCAUGAAGGCUUUGGAAUCUCUUACUCUUAAGGUAAGCUCGCCCAUUCUACUUUGUUUAAAAUACAGGGUUUGAAAAGGUUUAAACGCUGUGAUUAUUCUAAGCUCGGGGUUAUAUGUUGUAGGCUUUGAGCAUUGCCCGAGGCCUUUCUCUGAAGGGAAAAGAUGAGGCCCAAAAGACUACUGAACUCGAGAACUCUUCUCGAGCACUGGAGAAGAGGAUAGCCGAUUUGGAGGCUGAACGGUUCCUUCUCCGGAAGGAGCUCGAGGAUUCGAAAAAUGAUGCCCAUAGAGCUCGAGAAGAGGCUGGAACUGCUAAGGGCGAGGCUGAAUGUGUAAAGCUCGAGAUCGAGCGUUUGAAGGCUGAUUUUGAGGCUCGCCUGGCUGAAGCUCGAGGGGUCGCGAUUGAGGACUUUAAAAUGUCCGAGGAGUUUAACGGCCUCAAGGGGGAGUAUGCUAUGGGCUCGUACUUCCAUGCCUUCAAGGAAGCUCGGGCAUUUUUGAGAUCGAAGCCCGAUGCUAAUCCCGAGGAUCUAAAGAACAUCCCCGAGAUUGCUGAUACUCUCGAGCUGUCAGACUCCGAGGAAACCGCCGAGGACCAAGAGGUCGAUGUUGACGGCGAGGACGCGGUGGAGGAGCAGGGGAGCACAGCCUCGGGAGAAAGGGCCGAGGACUUAGAUUAGCCUUUGUUCCCUUCUGUUUUGUAAUUUGAACAUGUAUUUUACUCGAUAAAGUAUUUUUUCUUUUGCUGUGUUAAUGUAUCUCGAUCAUUCAAAUAUCUCGAUCAUUCAAAUCUCGACGCCUAGAGUAGUGAAACACCUCGAGGACAUAAUUCGUGAAAACAUUUUCUGAAUAUUAUAACGAACACAAAUUCAUCCCGAGGACUCAAACCGUAAAAUAUUUGGGAACAUCAUUGUUGACCCCGAGCAUUAAUCAAGUUACCUCGACGAGUAAAGAAGAUCCGAGGACAGUAUAGUUUUCUACACAAUUACAACUCGACGAUUAAGUUCAAGGGAUGGUCGUCCCCGAGGAGUAAGGAUAAUUCGUGACUGACCUAUGCACAUGAGUUUAUCCCGAGCUUUUAUUUUCAGGCUUGGACAAAAGUACAAUGUUAUAUGGUCGGGAUAUAUGUCCUCGGUAUUUAUACUUGUGCUGCACUAUUGUGCUGAUUAUGAGCUCCAAGUUCUUGGUGUUUGCUCGAGGGCAAGGCUUAAAAGGGCUUGCUCGAGGCCAAGGCUUAAAGGGGCUUGCUCGAGGGCAAGGCUUAAAGGGGCUUGCUCGAGGGCAAGGCUUGAAUUGGCUUGCUCGAGGGCAAGGCUUAAAGGGGCUUGCUCGAGGGCAAGGCUUGAAUUGGCUUGCUCGAGGGCAAGGCUUAAAUUGGCUCGUCAAAG
rnacentral:lncRNA from 1 species